CCUACGGGGGGCAGCAGUGGGGAAUAUUGCACAAUGGGGGAAACCCUGAUGCAGCGACGCCGCGUGAGUGAAGAAGUAUUUCGGUACGUAAAGCUCUAUCAGCAGGGAAGAAAAUGACGGUACCUGACUAAGAAGCCCCGGCUAACUACGUGCCAGCAGCCGCGGUAAUACGUAGGGGGCAAGCGUUAUCCGGAUUUACUGGGUGUAAAGGGAGCGUAGACGGCAGCGCAAGUCUGGAGUGAAAUCCCAUGGCUUAACCAUGGAAGUGCUUUGGAAACUGUGCAGCGAGAGUGCAGGAGAGGUAAGCGGAAUGCCUGGUGUAGCGGUGAAAGGCGUAGAUAUUAGGAGGAACACCAGUGGCGAAGGCGGCUUACUGGACUGUAACUGACGUUGAGGCUCGAAAGCGUGGGGAGCAAACAGGAUUAGAUACCCUUGUAGUC
rnacentral:rRNA from 1 species